AUCAAAAUAUUGUUGAGGCCAUGUCUUUGGUUAUUGACGUGAAAACACGUUUGAACAAUUUGAGAAGCGAAGGUUAUGAGCCACUACUUGAAGAAGUCAAAACAUUUUGCCAAGAGAAUGAUAUCCCAAUACCAAAUAUGGAAGAUAGUGUACCAAGAUUUGGUAGAUCAAGGAAAGGAGGGAGAAACAACAUCACUCAAGAUCAUUACUUUCGUGUUGAUACCUUCUUUGCUACCAUAGAUGCUAUCACAACAGAGUUUGAUCAUCGAUUCAAUGAGGUAUCAUCGGAAUUACUUACUUGCUUUGGUUGCCUUGAUCCUAGAGAUUCGUUCUCUAACUUUGAUGUGAAUAAACUUGCUCGCCUCACGGAUAUAUAUUUGGAUGAUUUUUCUUUUGAUGACCGGAAAAGAAUAAGAGACCAGUUAGAAACCUUCAUUAUUCAUGUUAGAAGAGUUGAGGCAUUCAGAGCUUGUUAUGACCUUGCAAGCCUAGCAAUGAAAAUGGUUGAACUUAAGAGGCAUGAAAUAUUUCCCUUGGUUUAUCGCCUAAUUGAGCUGGCAUUGCUGCUACCAGUAGCAACUGCAUCAGUUGAAAGAGCAUUUUCAGCCAUGAAGAUUAUUAAAACUGAGUUGCGGAAUAAGAUGUCCGAUGGUUGGCUUAAUGACUUGAUGGUGGUGUAUAUUGAGCGGGAGAUAUUUAAAGGAAUUGAUCUUGAAUCUAUCAAGAAGGCUUUUCAGAAGAAAAAAGAUAGAAAUAUGCAAUUGCCAAAGUCUCCUAGACGCAACUAAUAAUAAAUAUACCGCUUCUUUGGUCCAAUUGUUGAUUUGAUGCGUACUUUACGUAUUUUUCUUCAUUUGAGGUACUUCUGAACCA